UGGGAUUGCACCAAGGCAUCAAAAAACUUUGUAUUGGAGAAAGGGUGAGUGCCAAGCAUUUCUGUUUUAUUUAUAUAUAUAUAUAUAUAUAUAUAUAUAUAUAUAUAUAUAUAUAUUUUAUUUUUUUGGGGACAUAUAAAAAAAGACAACUCUGUUCUGCUGUAGCUGUUGAAAGUAGCUGUUGACAUUAUAGUUGCGCAGGCACUUUGUUGACGCUAGAGAACCUCGGGCCAAUCGCAACUUUCAAUGCCAGUUUCUCCGCCUACCAUGGUGACCACGGGUAACGGGGAAUCAGGGUUCCAUUCCGUACAGGGACCCUGAGAAACGACUACCGCAUGCAAGGAAGGCAGCAUGCAUGCAAAUGACCCACUCCCGACGCGGGAAGGUAGUGACG